rnacentral:rRNA from 1 species
UUCCGGUUGAUCCUGCCGGACCUGACUGCUAUCGGAUUGAUACUAAGCCAUGCGAGUCUUUGUAGUAAUACAAGGCAUACGGCUCAGUAACGCGUAGUCAACCUACCCUAUGGACAAGAAUAAUCUCGGGAAACUGAGCAUAAUUCUUGAUAGACCAUAAUGCCUGGAAUGGUUUAUGGUUAAAAUGAUUCGUCGCCAUAGGAUGGGACUGCGGCCUAUCAGCUUGUUGGUGAGGUAAUGGCCCACCAAGGCGAUUACAGGUACGGGCUCUGAGAGGAGAAGCCCGGAGAUGGGUACUGAGACAAGGACCCAGGCCCUAUGGGGCGCAGCAGGCGAGAAAACUUUGCAAUGUGCGAAAGCACGACAAGGUUAGUCCGAGUGAUUUCUGCUAAAGAGAUCUUUUGCUAGUUAUAAAACCACUAGUGAAUAAGGGGUGGGCAAGUUCUGGUGUCAGCCGCCGCGGUAAAACCAGCACCUCAAGUGGUCAGGAUGAUUAUUGGGCCUAAAGCAUCCGUAGCCGGCUCUGUAAGUUUUCGGUUAAAUCUAUGCGCUCAACGUAUGGGCUGCCGAAAAUACUGUAGAGAUAGGGAGUGGGAGAGGUAGACGGUACUCGGUAGGAAGGGGUAAAAUCCUUUGAUCUAUCGAUGACCACCUGUGGCGAAGGCGGUCUACCAGAACACGUUCGACGGUGAGGGAUGAAAGCUGGGGGAGCAAACCGGAUUAGAUACCCGGGUAGUCCCAGCUGUAAACGAUGCAGACUCGAUGAUGCAUUGGCAUAUAGCCAGUGCAGUGUCGCAGGGAAGCCGUUAAGUCUGCCGCCUGGGAAGUACGUACGCAAGUAUGAAACUUAAAGGAAUUGGCGGGGGAGCACCACAAGGGGUGAAGCCUGCGGUUCAAUUGGAUUCAACGCCGGG